UACAGAGGGGGCAAGCGUUGUUCGGAAUUACUGGGCGUAAAGGGCGCGUAGGCGGCCUUCUAAGUCGAACGUGAAAUCCCCGGGCUCAACCCGGGAACUGCGUCCGAUACUGGAAGGCUUGAAUCCGGGAGAGGGAUGCGGAAUUCCAGGUGUAGCGGUGAAAUGCGUAGAUAUCUGGAGGAACACCGGUGGCGAAGGCGGCAUCCUGGACCGGCAUUAACGCUGAGGCGCGAAAGCCAGGGGAGCAAACGGG
rnacentral:rRNA from 1 species